GUCUUCCUCAGGACCCCUGGUGUAGUCUUCGGGAAAUAUGGGGAUGCGUCCAUGCGGACAGAAGAGCCCCGCCUUGUCAGGGCCUCUGGUGAGGCCUAAGAAAGAUGUGGGUGCUGCAUCCACACUGACAGGAAUCUCUGGCCUCCUCAGGACGCACUGUGAAGUUUUGGGAAUAUUUGGGGCCACGUCCAUGCUGACAGGAGCCCCCAGCCUCCUCAGGGCUUAUGGUGAGGCUUGAGGAAAAUGUGGGACCACCUCAACACUGACAAGACCCCCGUUGUCCUCAGGACUUGCACUUUGGCUUUGGGAUAUAUGAGGCUGGGUCUUUGCUGACAGGAGCCCACAGCCUCCUCAGGACCCACGGUUAGUGUUCUGGGGGUGUGGGGUCAUGUCCAGGCUGACAGAAGCCCCCGGCCUCCUGAGGACCUGCUGUGAGGCUUCCAGAGGAUGUGAAGCAUAGUCCACAGUGACAGGAGACCCGGCGUCUUCAGGACCCACUGACUAUGGCUCAGGAACACGUGGGGCCACGUGCACACUCACAGGAGCCCGGUUUCCUCAGGACCCCCUGGAGUACUCUGGAGGUGCCAUUGGGGGCCAUGUCCAUAUCAGAAGGGACUCCUCAGAAUCACAGAGUAAGUGAAUGGGUAGAAUGAAUGGUUGGGUUAGGGGAGGGGAGGCAAUUGGUGGUUAGCCUUACGUUAGAUGUUAGGUGUUAGUGAUUAUGCUUAUGGUUAUGGAUUAGAGGUUAGGAUGAGGGAUAAGGGUAAGGGUCAGUGGUUAGGAGUUAGGAUGUGGGUUAGGGCUAGGGUUAGUAGUGUUAGUGUUUGGUUAGGGUUUAGGGUUAGGGUCAGGUCAGGGUCAGGGUACGGUUUUGGAAAAGGGCAAGAUAUAGGGUUAGGGAGUGGGUUAGGGGUUGGCUUUAGGGUACGGGUUAGGGUACAGUUUGCGGUAUGAGAUAGGAUUAGUAUUAGAGGCUUAGGGUUAGGGUACAGGUUAAGGUUAGGAAUAGGAUUUGAAUACCUUAUUUUAAGGAUAGGGUUAGAGGUUAGGGUCCGUGUUAGAUUUAAUGUAGGGGUCAGGGUUAAGGAAACCUAAGUUUAGGUGCACCUGCAUUUAGGAGAUAGGGUGAGGGUUGGCAGGAAGGUUCAGUGAAUGUGUUUUGGUCUUGGGGUUUGUGUUUGUUUUUCGAUUAGUGAUGUGUCUUGUUUAAGUGUUAGGUUAACAUUACGAUUAAGUGUAGGGUUAGGGUUAUGUCUGUGUAUGUUUAGAGUUUGGGUCUUGGCAUGUGCCUGCACUGGGACUCCUAGCAUCUUGGGCCGUUUAGUUUUAUGCACUCUAUUUAGGUUUUGGGUUCAAAGAUAGCCUGACUCCACCAAGUCAGUGGCCUCCCCAGAGAAUCAAAAUCCAGGCUUCUGAUGGUGUCAGAAUAGACAUGGCAGGCUUCUACCGAGCUGAGCUACGAGGGGAUUUGUGGCUCUAAAGACUCUUUAUUUGGAUUUUCAGUUGCCUUUCUGAUUUUAUCUCUAGUGCAUACAUGUUUCAUCAAUACUACCAAUUAUUAUUUUAAAGUUUUACUUGAAUUCCUGUUUGUAUACACAGUAUGAUAUAGUUUCAGGUUUACCACAUAAUGAUUCAUCCCUUGGAUACAACGCCUGGUACUGGCCACAGGUGCCCUCCACUAUCCCCAUCCCCUGAUUCCCCAUCUCCCUCACCUUCCUCUGGUAUUUAUUAGUUGAUUCUCUGUGGUUAAGAGUGUGUUUUUUUGUUUGCUUCUCUAAUCCUCCCCUCUGCCCCUUUGCCAGUUUGUCUGGUUUCUUAAAAUUCACAUGUGAAUGCAAUUGUAUGGUAUUUCAUAUCUUUCUCUGACUGAGUUCAUUAAGCAUAAGUCCUUUCCACUUCUCCCACAUCAUUGUAAAUGGCUUCAUUUCAUCGCUUCUGAUGACCCAGUGAUGUCGCAGUGGGUAUAUUUACCACAUCGUCUCUGCCCAUUCAUCAGUCGAUGGACAUCUGGGCUGUAUCCACAGUUUGGCUGUUGUUGAUAACGCUGCUACAAACACUGGUCUGCGUGUCCUACUUGGAAUCUACUAAAAGACUUUUGUAUCCUCGGGGUAAAUACCUAGCUCUGCAAAUUUGGAAUCGUAGGGUAGCGCUAUUUUUAACUUCUGUUUUAAUUUUUUUUAUGAUAGUCACAGAGAGAGAGGCAGAGACACAGUCAGAGGUAGAAGCAGGCUCCGUGCACUGUUAGUCCGAUGUGGAUUCGAUCCCAGGUCUCCAGGAUCGCGACAUGGGCCAAAGGCAGGUACCAAACCACUGCACCACCCAGGGAUCUCCUAUUUUUAACAUCUCGAGGACACUCCACAGUGUUUUUCACAGUGGCUGCAACUGUUCGCAUGCCCACCAGGAGUGUAAGGGGGCUCCCUCUUCUCUAUAGCCUCAACAACACCUGUUGUUUCUUCUGUUGUUAAUUUUAGCCAUUCUGUCGGCUGUCAGGUAACAUCUUAUUGUGAUUUCAUUUGAAUUUCCCUGAUGAUGGGUGACGUGGAGUGUCUUUCGGUGUCUGGUGGCCAUCUGGUUGUCUUGUCAGUGACAAAGUCCAUUCAUGUCUUCUACCCAUCUGCAGUUGGAUAAUUUGUGUUUAGGAGGUUGAGAUUUAUAUAUGCUUUGCGUAUUUUGCAUACUAACUGUUUAUUGGAUGUGUUAUUUACAAAUAUCUCCUUUCAUUUUGUAUGUUGCCUUUUAGCGUUGGUUGUUUCUUUCAUUUUGCAGAAGCUUUUGAAUUUGAGGAAGUCCCAAGAGUAUUUUUGCUUUUGUUUCCCUCAACUCAGAGGCACAUCUAGAAAGAAGAUCCAAUAGCCAACGUCAAAGACGUUGUUGCCUAUCUUUUCUUCUUUUUAUGAUUUCAGGUCUCACAUUUAGGUCUUUCAUCCAUUUUGAAUUUAUUUUUUAUAUAUAUUGUGUAAGAAAGUGGUCCAGUUUCAUUCUUCUGCAUGUGGCUGCCUUGUUUUCCCAACACCAUUUGUUUUUAUCCUGGGGUCAGGGUUAGGGUUUGUUGAAGAGACUGUCUUUGUGCCAUUGGAUAUUCCCUGCUGCCUUGUUGUCGAUUAAUGGAUCAUAGAGUUACAGGUUUGUAUUUUGUUUCAGCAUUCCAUUCUGUUCUAUUGAUCUAAGCAUCUACUGUUGGGAGAUUCCUGAUUGCUGAUUCAAUUUCGUUGCUGGUUAUCUGUGUGUUCUAGUUUCUUAUUUCUUCCUUUUCCAUUUUUGCUGUGUUAUAUAUUUCCAGGAAUUGAUCUAUUUCUUCCAGGUUCGAGGUUGCUGGCAUAUAAUUUUUCAUAAUGUUCUCUUAUAAACGUUCUUAUUUCUCUAGUUUUGGUUGUUAUUUCUCUUAUCUCAUUCGUGAUUUUAUUUGGGUCCAUUCUCAUCUUUUUAUCUUUUUUCUUUUUUAAAUAUUUUAUUUAUGUAUUCAUGCAAGACACAGAGAGGCAGGGGUAUAGGCAGGGGGAAUUGAGGCUCCACACAGGGAGCCUUAUGUGGGACAUGAUUCCCCAGGACCCCGGGAUCAUGACCUGAGCCAAAGCAGAUGCUCAACCACUGAGGCAUGCAGGUGCCUUGCUGAUUAAAUUCCUUUGCUAGUUAUGGGUCUAGUCACAUUUUCUAUUUCUUCCUCUUUCAGUUUUGCUCGUUUGCACAUUUCUAGGGAUCUCUCCAAUUCGUCCUGGUCUCCCAGGUUGUUAGCGUAUAAUCUUUUAUACUAUUCCCUUAUAAUUGUCUUAUUUUCUGGUGUUGAUUGUGAUCUCUCUUCUCUCUUUUGUGAUUUUAUUUAUUUAGUUCUUUUCUGUUUUCUUGUUGAUAAGGCUGGCUAGGGCUUGAUCCAGUUUCUUAGUUAUUUUGAAGAAUCAGUUCUUAGUUUCAUUAUUCCAUUCUACUGUUUUGUUGUUUCUGUAUUGAUUAUUUCUGCUCUCAUCUUUAUUUUUUCCUUCUUAAGGAGGCUUUAGGAUUUGUUCCCUAUUCCUUUUUCAGCUCCUUUAGGUGUAGUGUUGGGUCGUGUAUUGGAGACUUCUUGUUUCUUGAGGUAGGCCUGUAUUGCUAUCUACUUCCCUCUAAGGACUGUCUUUGCUACAUCCUAGAGGUUUGAAGAAACAUGUUUUCAUUUUCAUUUGUUUUAAAUUUCCUCUUUAAUUUCCUGGUUACGGGAUCCCUGGGUGGCGCAGCGGUUUGGCGCCUGCCUUUGGCCCAGGCGCGAUCCUGGAGACCCGGGAUCGAAUCCCACAUCGGGCUCCCGGUGCAUGGAGCCUGCUUCUCCCUCUGCCUUUGUCUCUACCUCUCUCUGUCUCUCUCUGUAACUAUCAUAAAUAAAUAAAAAAAAUUAAAAAAAAAGAAAUUAAAAAAAAUAAUAUUUUCCUGGUUACUCCAUUCCUUCUCUGGUAGGAUGAUCAUAAUCUCCACAAAUAUUUGGUCUGUCCAAAUUUUUUCUUACUGUCGACUUCAAGUUGCAUAGCGUUGUCGUCCGAAAAUAUACAUGGUGUGAUACCAUCCUUCUUGUACCCGUUGUACCUGUUGAGGGCUGAUUUGUGGUCCAUGAUAUAAUGUAUUCUGGAGAAUGUCCCAUGUGCACUUGAAAUGAAUGUGUAUUCUGCUUUAGGAAGAAAUGUUCAGACUAUAUCUGUUGAGUCACUUCGGUCCAGUGUGUCAAGCCUAUUGUUCCCCUGUUGAUUUUCUGCAUAGACGAUCGGUCCAUUGCCAAAUGUGGGUGUUAAAAUCCCCAGUCAUUGUAUUAUUAUCAGUGUGUUCCUGUACGUUUGUUGUUAAUUCGUUUCUAUAUUUCGGUACUCCCAUGUUGGCAGCAUAAAUAUGCAUAAAUAUCUCUGUAUUUGAGAUCUUUCCAGUUUUUUGAAUGGAUGCUUCUAUUGUGAUGUAUUUCCCCCUUAGGAAUGCUUUUGCUGCAUGCCAAAGGUUUUGAACAUUUGUAUCUUCAUUCCAAUUAGUUUCCAUGAA
rnacentral:lncRNA from 1 species